GACUUGCGGAGGGAGGAGUUCCACUGUUGAGAGAGGAUUCAUCGCUUCACUUUUACAGUCAUUUAUCCCAAAGUUCUCAGAAGUCCCCCUCCAAGAAGAGAAUGUUAGAAAACGAGUUUGGUUGUCCUGAUUUCUGGAAGAAAGUGAAGCGGCAACACAAGCACAGGCCUGGGCAGACCCGAUCCUUGAGCCAAGAGGGUACAGGAAUUUAGCUGGAGGCUGGGGGUCGUCUAGUGAACAGUGAUUCUAGGGAGCUAGGAAAACAGAUUUGCAGUAAGUUGGCUGUGACUGGUGAGGAUUAUACAGUGAGCCAGGAGCAUUCCAGGGAUCUGGAACCAGAGCUGCAGAAUGACAUAGUU